UACGUAGGGGGCGAGCGUUGUCCGGAAUUACUGGGCGUAAAGGGCGUCUAGGCGGUUGUUUAAGUCCGCUGUGAAAGACCGAGGCUCAACCUCGGGGUGUCAGCGGAGACUGGACGACUGGAGUGUCGGAGAGGAGUGCGGAAUUCCUGGUGUAGCGGUGGAAUGCGUAGAGAUCAGGAGGAACACCGAUGGCGAAGGCAGCACUCUGGCCGAAGACUGACGCUGAAGCGCGAAAGCUGGGGGAGCGAACGGG
rnacentral:rRNA from 1 species